CCAAAGAUCAACCAAGUCGUAUUGCUAGACUGUCAAGCUGAAAAAGGAGCAUCAGACAAACGGAGGCUUCCCCUUAUCAACCAACAUAUAACUGAGAAUGUAAGACUCCUCCAGCCAGUCUCUUAUAACUGGUCUGAUCUUAAUUGUACAGAUCACCAGCAUAACACAUCCAAAACAAGACUUGUGAUGGGGUCAAGAGCGAACGGUCGGCUGAAAGGAAUAUUUUGCCCGAGC